rnacentral:rRNA from 1 species
CGUAGGGUGCAAGCGUUAAUCGGAAUUACUGGGCGUAAAGCGUGCGCAGGCGGUUUUGUAAGUCUGUCGUGAAAUCCCCGGGCUCAACCUGGGAAUGGCGAUGGAGACUGCAAGGCUAGAGUUUGGCAGAGGGGGGUAGAAUUCCACGUGUAGCAGUGAAAUGCGUAGAUAUGUGGAGGAACACCGAUGGCGAAGGCAGCCCCCUGGGUCAAGACUGACGCUCAUGCACGAAAGCGUGGGGAGCAAACAGGAUUAGAUACCCUGGUAGUCCACGCCCUAAACGAUGUCUACUAGUUGUCGGGUCUUAAUUGACUUGGUAACGCAGCUAACGCGUGAAGUAGACCGCCUGGGGAGUACGGUCGCAAGAUUA